rnacentral:rRNA from 1 species
AAAAGUGAAAGACGGUCUUGCUGUCACUUAUAGAUGGAUCCGCGCUGCAUUAGCUAGUUGGUAAGGUAACGGCUUACCAAGGCAACGAUGCAUAGCCGACCUGAGAGGGUGAUCGGCCACACUGGAACUGAGACACGGUCCAGACUCCUACGGGAGGCAGCAGUAGGGAAUCUUCCGCAAUGGGCGAAAGCCUGACGGAGCAACGCCGCGUGAGUGAUGAAGGUCUUCGGAUCGUAAAACUCUGUUAUUAGGGAAGAACAUAUGUGUAAGUAACUGUGCACAUCUUGACGGUACCUAAUCAGAAAGCCACGGCUAACUACGUGCCAGCAGCCGCGGUAAUACGUAGGUGGCAAGCGUUAUCCGGAAUUAUUGGGCGUAAAGCGCGCGUAGGCGGUUUUUUAAGUCUGAUGUGAAAGCCCACGGCUCAACCGUGGAGGGUCAUUGGAAACUGGAAAACUUGAGUGCAGAAGAGGAAAGUGGAAU